CCUACGGGAGGCAGCAGUGGGGAAUCUUGCGCAAUGGGCGAAAGCCUGACGCAGCAACGCCGCGUGAGGGACGAAGGUUUUCUGAAUUGUAAACCUCUUUCAGCAGGGAAGAUAAUGACGGUACCUGCAGAAGAAGCACCGGCUAACUACGUGCCAGCAGCCGCGGUGAUACGUAGGGUGCAAGCGUUGUCCGGAUUUAUUGGGCGUAAAGAGCUCGUAGGCGGUUUGGUAAGUCGGUUGUGAAAUCCCCAGGCUCAACCUGGGGCCUGCAUUCGAUACUACCAUGACUAGAGUUUGGUAGGGGACCACGGAAUUCCUGGUGUAGCGGUGGAAUGCGCAGAUAUCAGGAGGAACACCAGUAGCGAAGGCGGUGGUCUGGGCCAAUACUGACGCUGAGGAGCGAAAGCGUGGGGAGCAAACAGGAUUAGAUACCCUGGUAGUCCACGCCGUAAACGGUGGGCGCUAGGUGUGGGGACUAUUCAACGGUUUCCGCGCCGACGCUAACGCAUUAAGUGCCCCGCCGUCGGGUAGGUACGGCCGCGACGGACGUAAACCUACAAACGGAAAGUUAGACGGCGUGAGACGUCGCCGACGGACGACCGACGAGGGAGUAGG
rnacentral:rRNA from 1 species